ACGAUGAACUGGGUGCUUGCACCUGGGGAUUAGUGGCGAACGGGUGAGUAACACGUGAGUAACCUGCCCUGGACUCUGGGAUAACCCCGAGAAAUCGGAGCUAAUACCGGAUAGGACCUUGCACCGCAUGGUGUGGGGUGGAAAGUUUUUUCGGUCUGGGAUGGACUCGCGGCCUAUCAGCUUGUUGGUGAGGUAAUGGCUCACCAAGGCGUCGACGGGUAGCCGGCCUGAGAGGGUGACCGGCCACACUGGGACUGAGACACGGCCCAGACUCCUACGGGAGGCAGCAGUGGGGAAUAUUGCACAAUGGGCGCAAGCCUGAUGCAGCAACGCCGCGUGCGGGAUGACGGCCUUCGGGUUGUAAACCGCUUUUAGUAAGGAAGAAGGGGCUUCGGCCUUGACGGUACUUGCAGAAAAAGGACCGGCUAACUACGUGCCAGCAGCCGCGGUAAUACGUAGGGUCCGAGCGUUGUCCGGAAUUAUUGGGCGUAAAGAGCUCGUAGGCGGUUUGUCGCGUCUGCUGUGAAAUCCCGAGGCUCAACCUCGGGUCUGCAGUGGGUACGGGCAGACUGGAGUGCGGUAGGGGAGAAUGGAAUUCCUGGUGUAGCGGUGGAAUGCGCAGAUAUCAGGAGGAACACCGAUGGCGAAGGCAGUUCUCUGGGCCGUAACUGACGCUGAGGAGCGAAAGCGUGGGGAGCGAACAGGAUUAGAUACCCUGGUAGUCCACGCCGUAAACGUUGGGCGCUAGAUGUGGGGACCUUUCCACGGUUUCCGUGUCGUAGCUAACGC
rnacentral:rRNA from 1 species